rnacentral:rRNA from 1 species
AGUGAACGCUGGCGGUAGGCCUAACACAUGCAAGUCGAACGGCAGCACAGUAAGAGCUUGCUCUUACGGGUGGCGAGUGGCGGACGGGUGAGGAAUACAUCGGAAUCUACUUUUUCGUGGGGGCUAACGUAGGGAAACUUACGCUAAUACCGCAUACGACCUACGGGUGAAAGCAGGGGAUCUUCGGACCUUGCGCGAUUGAAUGAGCCGAUGUCGGAUUAGCUAGUUGGCGGGGUAAAGGCCCACCAAGGCGACGAUCCGUAGCUGGUCUGAGAGGAUGAUCAGCCACACUGGAACUGAGACACGGUCCAGACUCCUACGGGAGGCAGCAGUGGGGAAUAUUGGACAAAGGGCGCAAGCCUGAUCCAGCCAUACCGCGUGGGUGAAGAAGGCCUUCGGGUUGUAAAGCCCUUUUGUUGGGAAAGAAAAGCAGCAGGUUAAUACCCCGCGGUUCUGACGGUACCCAAAGAAUAAGCACCGGCUAACUUCGUG